rnacentral:snRNA from 1 species
AUAUCUUUUGGGUCUUUUGACUAUGAUAAGGUGUAAUAUUUGUUUUUAUCAGUUUAAUAUAGUUUAAUAUCUGAUAUGUGAACCAUAUAUUCACUCUGAUAUUAAAGUUACUUUUUAUAGGUAUCAAAUAUGAUUGCAUAUCGUCUCAAUGCACCACUA